CAAAAACAUCGCCUCCUGAUUAAACAUAAGAGGUCCAGCCUGCCCAGUGAUAACAUUCAACGGCCGCGGUAUUCUGACCGUGCGAAGGUAGCAUAAUCACUUGUUCCUUAAAUAGGGACUAGUAUCAACGGCAUCACGAGGGCUAUACUGUCUCCCCCCUCCAAUCAGUGAAACUGAUCCCCCCGUGAAGAAGCGGGGAUUUAAUUAUAAGACGAGAAGACCCCAUGGAGCUUUAAACCCAACACACACCCCAUCGCUAAAACAUCAACUAAGCCUCGAGGGCCUGUACGUUGGUUUUAGGCUGGGGGGACCACGGAGCAAAAUCAAACCUCCACAACAAAUGGGCUAAAACCCUUAUCCACGAUUUACAAAUCUAAGAAUCAUCAAAAUGAUGUUUAAUGACCCGAUAAUUCGAUCAAUGAACCAAGUUACCCUGGGGAUAACAGCGCAAUCCACUCCAAGAGCCCAUAUCGACAAGUGGGUUUACGACCUCGAUGUUGGAUCAGGGUAUCCUAGUGGUGCAGCCGCUACUAAAGGUUCGUUUGUUCAACGAUUAAAACCCUACGUGAUCUGAUUUCAGACCGG
rnacentral:rRNA from 1 species